GACGAACGCUGGCGGCGUGCUUAACACAUGCAAGUCGAACGAUGAACCCGGAGCUUGCUCUGGGGGAUUAGUGGCGAACGGGUGAGUAACACGUGAGUAACCUGCCCUGGACUCUGGGAUAAGCGUUGGAAACGACGUCUAAUACCGGAUAGGACCUUGGAUCGCAUGAUCUGGGGUGGAAAGUUUUUUCGGUCUGGGAUGGACUCGCGGCCUAUCAGCUUGUUGGUGAGGUAAUGGCUCACCAAGGCGUCGACGGGUAGCCGGCCUGAGAGGGUGACCGGCCACACUGGGACUGAGACACGGCCCAGACUCCUACGGGAGGCAGCAGUGGGGAAUAUUGCACAAUGGGCGAAAGCCUGAUGCAGCAACGCCGCGUGCGGGAUGACGGCCGUCGGGUUGUAAACCGCUUUUAGUAGGGAAGAAGGGCUUCGGCUUGACGGUUCCUGCAGAAAAAGGACCGGCUAACUACGUG
rnacentral:rRNA from 1 species